rnacentral:rRNA from 1 species
GAUGAACGCUGGCGGCGUGCUUAACACAUGCAAGUCGAACGAAGCACUUUAUUUGAUUUCCUUCGGGACUGAUUAUUUUGUGACUGAGUGGCGGACGGGUGAGUAACGCGUGGGUAACCUGCCUUGUACAGGGGGAUAACAGUUGGAAACGGCUGCUAAUACCGCAUAAGCGCACGGCAUCGCAUGAUGCAGUGUGAAAAACUCCGGUGGUAUAAGAUGGACCCCGCGUUGGAUUAGCUAGUUGGUGAGGUAACGGCCCACCAAGGCGACGAUCCAUAGCCGACCUGAGAGGGUGACCGGCCACAUUGGGACUGAGACACGGCCCAAAACUCCCUACGGGGAGGCAGCAGUGGGAAUAUUGCACAAUGGGCGAAAGCCUGAUGCAGCGACGCCGCGUGAUCGAAGAGUAUUCGGUAUGUAAAGCUCUAUCAGCAGGGAAGAUAAUGACGGUACCUGACUAAGAAGCA